UACGUAGGGUGCGAGCGUUGUCCGGAAUUAUUGGGCGUAAAGAGCUCGUAGGCGGUCUGUCGCGUCUGCUGUGAAAACCCGAGGCUCAACCUCGGGCCUGCAGUGGGUACGGGCAGACUAGAGUGCGGUAGGGGAGAAUGGAACUCCUGGUGUAGCGGUGGAAUGCGCAGAUAUCAGGAAGAACACCGAUGGCGAAGGCAGUUCUCUGGGCCGUAACUGACGCUGGAGGAGCGAAAGCGUGGGGAGCAAACAGG
rnacentral:rRNA from 1 species